UACGGAGGGUGCGAGCGUUGUCCGGAAUCAUUGGGCGUAAAGGGCGCGUAGGUGGCGGGACAAGCGUGCGGUGAAAGCCUGGGGCUCAACCCCGGGUCGGCCGUGCGAACUGUUUUGCUUGAGCACUGUAGAGGCAGGCGGGAAUUCCGGGUGUAGCGGUGGAAUGCGUAGAGAUCCGGAAGAACACCGGUGGCGAAGGCGGCCUGCUGGGCAGUAGCUGACACUGAGGCGCGACAGCGUGGGGAGCAAACAGG
rnacentral:rRNA from 1 species